rnacentral:rRNA from 1 species
GAGGGGCAUCGGGAGGGAAGCUUGCUUUCCUUGCCGGCGACCGGCGCACGGGUGAGUAACACGUAUGCAACCUGCCCUCUUCAGGGGGACAACCUUCCGAAAGGGAGGCUAAUCCCGCGUAUAUCGGUUUCGGGCAUCCGAGAUCGAGGAAAGAUUCAUCGGAAGAGGAUGGGCAUGCGGCGCAUUAGCUUGACGGCGGGGUAACGGCCCACCGUGGCGACGAUGCGUAGGGGUUCUGAGAGGAAGGUCCCCCACACUGGUACUGAGACACGGACCAGACUCCUACGGGAGGCAGCAGUGAGGAAUAUUGGUCAAUGGGAGAGAUCCUGAACCAGCCAAGCCGCGUGAGGGAAGACGGCCCUAUGGGUUGUAAACCUCUUUUGUCGGAGAACAAAACCCGGGACGUGUCCCGGACUGCGUGUAUCCGAAGAAAAAGCAUCGGCUAACUCCGUGCCAGCAGCCGCGGUAAUACGGAGGAUGCGAGCGUUAUCCGGAUUUAUUGGGUUUAAAGGGUGCGUAGGCGGUCCGUUAAGUCAGCGGUAAAAUUGCGGGGCUCAACCCCGUCGAGCCGUUGAAACUGGCAGACUUGAGUUGGCGAGAAGUACGCGGAAUGCGCGGUGUAGCGGUGAAAUGCAUAGAUAUCGCGCAGAACUCCGAUUGCGAAGGCAGCGUACCGGCGCCAGACUGACGCUGAGGCACGAAAGCGUGGGGAUCGAACAGGAUUAGAUACCCUGGUAGUCCACGCAGUAAACGAUGAAUGCUGGUUGUCCGGGUCGAAUGAGACCUGGGCGGCGAAGCGAAAGCGAUAAGCGUUCCACCUGGGGAGUACGCCGGCAGCGGUGAAACUCAAAGGAAUUGACGGGGGCCCGCACAAGCGGAGGAACAUGUGGUUUAAUUCGAUGAUACGCGAGGAACCUUACCCGGGCUCAAACGGGAGUGGAAUGGACCAGAGACGGUUCAGCCUACGGGCCGCUUCCGAGGUGCUGCAUGGUUGUCGUCAGCUCGUGCCGUGAGGUGUCGGCUUAAGUGCCAUAACGAGCGCAACCCCCGCCGGCAGUUGCUAACGGGCAAUGCCGAGGACUCUGCCGGGACUGCCGCCGCAAGGCGUGAGGAAGGCGGGGAUGACGUCAAAUCAGCACGGCCCUUACGUCCGGGGCGACACACGUGUUACAAUGGGCGGUACAGCGGGAAGCCAGGCGGCGACGCCGAGCGGAACCCGAAAGCCGUUCUCAGUUCGGAUCGGAGUCUGCAACCCGACUCCGUGAAGCUGGAUUCGCUAGUAAUCGCGCAUCAGCCAUGGCGCGGUGAAUACGUUCCCGGGC